GGUAGCCAUCACUUCCAUGGUUCAACAGAGGCUGAUAAUCUGGGUUUUUCAAACUAUGAAGUAUUCUGAUUCUUAAAUGGUGACAGCUCAUUGAAAACUUUUAGCCACGGCCUGAGCACACCUACAUAAAACCUCCUGAGUCUGUCCAACCUGCCAACAUGGCCACUUUCCUCACUGGUUCCCCCACAACAGUGUGGCACCAGCUGCCUCUUUGCCAUUGCUCCAGAGGUGGCCCCCAACAGAGGACUCUCUUCCUACUACCCUUCCCCAGCCUGGUCCAUCCUGCAGUCCCUGGAGGAGGUGCUGGGUGACCCCCUCUACCUCCAGCUCUUGCCUCCCUUUUGGCUCCUAUAGCAAUAACUAGAUCUGAGUCUCCUAUCAACGCUCUCAUUUGCAGUAUGUGUGCGUGUGUGAGUGUGUGUGUAUGUGUGUGUCUGCAGAACUCCUAACGCCCACGCCUAAGCUGGCUGCCUCUCCACCUCCCAGCACCCUGCAUGGAGCCUGGUGCGUGGGGGGUGCCUGGGAAAGACCUGUUGACUCACAAGGGAAAAAAAGGACAGGGCAGAGGUUUCCCUGGUAGGUGUGAACACACAGGGGUGUGGAAUGAGACAGGAAUGCCCAGACAAACACACUUGCAUGUUUAUAUUCAUGCAGAUUCUCCAAUGUGUACACUCCCAGACCCACCCCAGGUACACAUUGAGCAGGGGAUGUGUGCACACACACAGGCCAGGUGACGUGGGGUUCACACAAGGAGCAGACUUUCCAGAAGGCAGAACAGGAUGCUGGGGCUCUGUGUGCUUUCCAGGUCAUUCCCUCCACACAGUCACAUGGACAGGAGUCCACAAAAGCACAGGCUCCAUCCUGAGCCUUGGCCCAUGGCCAAGAAGGCAAAGCCAUCCUGAGACUGGUUCAGGCCCGCUGACCUCCAGAAAGGCCUGGGGCAGGCAUUGACACCAGGUCCAGACCAUCCAGCCCCAGGCGCCUCUUCCAGAAAAGCUCCCUUCCCACAUGGCUUAUCCUCAGCCUGGCGCCAUCCGUCUCUUAAGGCCCUUGCUCUUCCCGCACGGUGCUUCCUACUUAGAACUUUCCUUGGACCUCCUCCUCCACAAUCUCUCUAGUCACACUCAAGGGAUAACCACUCUUUCUGGAGGUUUUGCUAGGAAAAUUCUUCCCAUGCUUUCCUGUGUGCCUUCAUCUCUCACCCCUUCGCACCACCCACCUGGAGCAC
rnacentral:lncRNA from 1 species